rnacentral:rRNA from 1 species
GCCUAGGGGCGCAGCAGUGGGGAAUAUUGCACAAUGGGGGGAACCCUGAUGCAGCGACGCCACGUGGGUGAAGGAGUACUUCGGUACGUAAAGCCCUAUCAGCAGGAAAGAAAAUGACGGUACCUGACUAAGAAGCCCCGGCUAACUACGUGCCAGCAGCCGCGGUAAUACGUAGGGGGCAAGCGUUAUCCGGAUUUACUGGGUGUAAAGGGGGCGCAGACGGCGAUGCAAGCCAGGAGUGAAAGCCCGGGGCCCAACCCCGGGACUGCUCUUGGAACUGCGUGGCUAGAGUGCAGGAGGGGCAG